CUCCCCCCUCUCGCUCCUCACCGCCUCCUUCCCAAUUUCCCAGAGGAACCACGCUUACGGCUUGACGUCCUACGUACGCGCUCGCCGACUCGCCCCGCAUAGGCUAGCCCUUUUGACUGCGCUGCUAGAACGAGAACGCGGUGAAGAAGGGUUACCUUGGCUCAGCUUAACAAUGAGCGGGCUACGUCUAUGCGCUAUCUCUGAGGCAGAGGCUGACCAGAGCGGGUGGAAGGAAAGAAUCCGCGGUCACGUGAUCCGACGAGGGCCGACGCCAUUUUAUGAUUUUUCUUUUUCCUUUUUUUUUUUUUUUUUUAAACAGUACAUUUGGUUGGAGGAAUGGGGUCUUCUAUGUUGCUCAGGCUGAUCCCAAACUGCUGGGCUUAAGCGGUCCUCCUGCCUCAGCCUCCAGAGUUGGGACCACAGACAGGUUCGCGCCACUGCGCCAAGAUGGACUAUUUUAAAGUGUACAAUUUAAUGGCCUUUAGUGCGUUCAUAGGUUGUGCCACCAUGACCACUGCUAUUAUUAAAUCUUUUCAUCACCCAAAUAAGAAACCUACACCUAUUAACCAGUCACUCCCUGUCGUGAGCUAUGUCAUUUACGUAGACAAAACACGUUUGGUGUCUUUCCACAGUGUCACAAUUUAGUGAAUAACAAUAAAUUCACAGGUUACACUGUUUU